GCGGGGAUUCCCAAGUCAGGACAACGGGGCAGGACUUAAGAUCCUGUGGCGAAGGCCUUCGUGGGUUCAAAUCCCACUCCCCGCACCA
rnacentral:tRNA from 1 species